AUUUUGAGUGGCAACACUGCCAGAUUAAAGGACUUUCGCUUCGACCAUGAUUGGGAACGGCGAGGGAAAGAUUUCACGUUUUCGUGUUUUGUUGGCCAGGUUCGCCUGCAUAUUAAAAAUUAUGUCUCUGAAGUAGAGAAUAAUAAUUUUAUUUAUCUCAACAAUAAUGCUUCCUUAUUUUGUUCAUUUUGAAAUAGAUAUUUUUAUCUGAUUUCGGGGAUGGUGGGAACGAGAGAUUACACAUAUGCAAUCUACUCUGGGAUUCUUUCAUUUUUAUAUUUCCUUUGUAUUUUAUUGUUUUAUUUUAUUAUAUACGUAACUAAUUAAUAGAAAUAUGACUUUAGAAGAAAAUACACUUGGGUUACCAUGAUGUAGGAAAAAUUUAAAUAUGAAAAAUUUAUAAUUUGAAAUUAAGAUGGAACUUAAAUGAGUUACAAACAGAACUCAAACUUAAAAUUAUAUUUCGAUUUCAUUCUGUCAUUUUCGUUAAACUUCAAUCAUCGAGGCCUGGAUAUUUGAAUUUGAAAUUUAAAUAAAACACUAAAAGGUAUCUUUUCAAUAUUUUGAAAGCUGAGUCUACCGUGGAUCACCAGAGCAAUGAAACAUCUGUCCGUAUUAAAGUAGAACCUUUGGGCUGGAGAUCCUGCUCAUCGAAACUUCCUGUUGAAACCUUAACACCCUGUGGAUGUCCAGAGCAAAUUGACAAUUCAAGUAAUUGGUAUGAAUUAAUGCAGAAGAGGUACAGACUUUCUCAUUAUUUAGUUGAUCUAUGCUUAUUUACAAGGUUAUUUGAUUUCUGGUGGUAUACUCGUUAAGCUCAUUAUACUCGUUAAGCUCAUUAUACUCGUUAAGCUCAUUAUACUCGUUAAGCACAUUAUACUCAUCACGUAUUUUUUUUUAUUGUAGUAAAUAUAUUAAGAACCUUCUCUCUACGACUGAGCAACCUUAGUAUUUGUUUAAAUUGUAAUUUCUGAAGUGAUGGUUUUGGGGUUAGCUAGGUAGGCUUAUUUAUUAUAUUUUGUUACAUGAGGGUAAGUGUAAAAAAAUGGAAAUUAAACUACCUUAAUGUUGAAUAUCUA